GACAGAGGGUGCAAACGUUGUUCGGAAUUACUGGGUGUAAAGCGAGUGUAGGCGGUCUCCUAAGUCGGGUGUGAAAGCCCCGGGCUCAACCCGGGAAGUGCACUCGAAACUGGGAGGCUAGAGUAUCGGAGAGGUUGGUGGAAUUCUCGGUGUAGAGGUGAAAUUCGUAGAUAUCGAGAGGAACACCGGUGGCGAAGGCGGCCAACUGGACGAAUACUGACGCUGAGACUCGAAAGCGUGGGGAGCAAACAGG
rnacentral:rRNA from 1 species